rnacentral:rRNA from 1 species
CARCUUUCAACAACGGAUCUCUUGGCUCUCGCAUCGAUGAAGAACGCAGCGAAAUGCGAUAAGUAAUGUGAAUUGCAGAUUUUCAGUGAAUCAUCGAAUCUUUGAACGCACCUUGCGCCCCUUGGUAUUCCGAGGGGCAUGCCUGUUUGAGUGUCAUUA